rnacentral:rRNA from 1 species
AUUGAACGCUGGCGGCAGGCCUAACACAUGCAAGUCGAGCGGAUGAAGGGAGCUUGCUCCUGGAUUCAGCGGCGGACGGGUGAGUAAUGCCUAGGAAUCUGCCUGGUAGUGGGGGAUAACGUCCGGAAACGGGCGCUAAUACCGCAUACGUCCUGAGGGAGAAAGUGGGGGAUCUUCGGACCUCACGCUAUCAGAUGAGCCUAGGUUGGAUUAGCUAGUUGGUGGGGUAAAGGCCUACCAAGGCGACGAUCCGUAACUGGUCUGAGAGGAUGAUCAGUCACACUGGAACUGAGACACGGUCCAGACUCCUACGGGAGGCAGCAGUGGGGAAUAUUGGACAAUGGGCGAAAGCCUGAUCCAGCCAUGCCGCGUGUGUGACGAAGGUCUUCGGAUUGUAAAGCACUUUAAGUUGGGAGGAAGGGCAGUAAGUUAAUACCUUGCUGUUUUGACGUUACCAACAGAAUAAGCACCGGCUAACUUCGUG